rnacentral:rRNA from 1 species
UACGUAGGGUGCGAGCGUUGUCCGGAAUUAUUGGGCGUAAAGAGCUCGUAGGUGGUUUGUCGCGUUGUUCGUGAAAACCUGAGGCUUAACCUUGGGCGUGCGGGCGAUACGGGCAGACUGGAGUACUGCAGGGGAGACUGGAAUUCCUGGUGUAGCGGUGGAAUGCGCAGAUAUCAGGAGGAACACCGGUGGCGAAGGCGGGUCUCUGGGCAGUAACUGACGCUGAGGAGCGAAAGCGUGGGGAGCGAACAGG